GCCCUUAGAGUUUGAUCCUGGCUCAGAUUGAACGCUGGCGGAAUGCCUUACACAUGCAAGUCGAACGGCAGCACGGACUUCGGUCUGGUGGCGAGUGGCGAACGGGUGAGUAAAGCGCCGGAACGUGUCCAGUAUAGGGGGAUAACGCAGCGAAAGCUGUGCUAAUACCGCAUACGCCCUGAGGGGGAAAGCUGGGGAUCUUCGGACCUGGCGAUAUUGGAGCGGCCGACGUCUGAUUAGCUAGUAGGUGGGGUAAAGGCCCACCUAGGCGACGAUCAGUAGCUGGUCUGAGAGGAUGAUCAGCCACACUGGGACUGAGACACGGCCCAGACUCCUACGGGAGGCAGCAGUGGGGAAUUUUGGACAAUGGGCGCAAGCCUGAUCCAGCCAUUCCGCGUGAGUGAAGAAGGCCUUCGGGUUGUAAAGCUCUUUCAGUGGGGAAGAAAGGACUGACGUGAAUAGCGUUGGUAGAUGACGGUACCCGCAGAAGAAGCACCGGCUAACUACGUGCCAGCAGCCGCGGUAAUACGUAGGGUGCGAGCGUUAAUCGGAAUUACUGGGCGUAAAGCGUGCGCAGGCGGUUUGACAAGUCUGAUGUGAAAGCCCCGGGCUUAACCUGGGAACUGCGUUGGAAACUGUCGAACUAGAGUGUGGCAGAGGGGGGUGGAAUUCCACGUGUAGCAGUGAAAUGCGUAGAGAUGUGGAGGAACACCGAUGGCGAAGGCAGCCCCCUGGGUCAACACUGACGCUCAGGCACGAAAGCGUGGGUAGCAAACAGGAUUAGAUACCCUGGUAGUCCACGCCCUAAACGAUGUCAACUAGUUGUUGGGAAGGGAGACCUUCUUGGUAACGCAGCUAACGCGUGAAGUUGACCGCCUGGGGAGUACGGUCGCAAGAUUAAAACUCAAAUGAAUUGACGGGGAAGGGC
rnacentral:rRNA from 1 species